rnacentral:rRNA from 1 species
AGUGAACGCUGGCGGUAGGCCUAACACAUGCAAGUCGAACGGCAGCACAGUGAGAGCUUGCUCUUACGGGUGGCGAGUGGCGGACGGGUGAGGAAUACAUCGGAAUCUACUUUUUCGUGGGGGAUAGCGUAGGGAAACUUACGCUAAUACCGCAUACGACCUACGGGUGAAAGCAGGGGAUCUUCGGACCUUGCGCGAUUGAAUGAGCCGAUGUCGGAUUAGCUAGUUGGCGGGGUAAAGGCCCACCAAGGCGACGAUCCGUAGCUGGUCUGAGAGGAUGAUCAGCCACACUGGAACUGAGACACGGUCCAGACUCCUACGGGAGGCAGCAGUGGGGAAUAUUGGACAAUGGGCGCAAGCCUGAUCCAGCCAUACCGCGUGGGUGAAGAAGGCCUUCGGGUUGUAAAGCCCUUUUGUUGGGAAAGAAAAGCAGCAGGUUAAUACCCCGCUGUUCUGACGGUACCCAAAGAAUAAGCACCGGCUAACUUCGUG